rnacentral:rRNA from 1 species
AGUGAACGCUGGCGGUAGGCCUAACACAUGCAAGUCGAACGGCAGCACAGGAGAGCUUGCUCUCUGGGUGGCGAGUGGCGGACGGGUGAGGAAUACAUCGGAAUCUACUUUUUCGUGGGGGAUAACGUAGGGAAACUUACGCUAAUACCGCAUACGACCUACGGGUGAAAGCAGGGGACCUUCGGGCCUUGCGCGAUUGAAUGAGCCGAUGUCGGAUUAGCUAGUUGGCGGGGUAAAGGCCCACCAAGGCGACGAUCCGUAGCUGGUCUGAGAGGAUGAUCAGCCUCACUGGAACUGAGACACGGUCCAGACUCCUACGGGAGGCAGCAGUGGGGGAUAUUGGACAAUGGGCGCAAGCCUGAUCCAGCCAUACCGCGUGGGUGAAGAAGGCCUUCGGGUUGUAAAGCCCUUUUGUUGGGAAAGAAAUCCAGCUGGCUAAUACCCGGUUGGGAUGACGGUACCCAAAGAAUAAGCACCGGCUAACUUCGUGCCAGCCGCCGCGGUAA